GCCGCUUCUCUCUUCCAACACUUAGACAAAUUUCAUUCUCAAUCUUUCCUUCCUAUGGUGAACACCGAAAAACUCUGGACCUCUAACACCGUCUGCUUCCGCAAAAUGCUCCUCUAAAGCACCAUUGACGAGUGCCAAUCUUCAGGUCAAGCUCGCCGAAGAAGCGAAGUCAGAACACUUCCAAGCUCCCUCCUCGUUCCGCGACUUUAGUUUAGACUUUUCUCCGACCCCCUUUUCAGCUAAUUGUGCGUGGGGAAGAUAAUACUCUUGGCCAAAUCGCAUCCGAAACACUUGCGAUCUGGAGUAUUAACAGUGUUAGGGAUGGUCAGAACCGGCUUUCUUUGAGGAGCUAUGAAAUGCGAACAUAUUUUGACUGCAUUAAUUUGGUUGGAUGAAAGAAAAAAAGGAGAGGAGGUCUUCGGCUGAACGGAAAAAGGGAGGAGGUUUGGAGAAAGGAAAAAGAAAACAGAGCAAAAAGAGAGAGAGAGAGCCAGAGAGUAGACGGAAGAAAAAUUGAAAAAAGAGGGGUGGAAAAAGGGAAGAGCUUCGACAAGAAAACAGAGCAAAGAAAAACCAAGAAUCGAAGGAAUCAGCAAGGAGUUGCUGUUGCCGCUGCUGCCACCAGAAUCCACCACCACCACCUGCAAGUCCUCACCGCAAAAGCUUGGACAUGGAUAAAACUUGGAUGAAGAUUAGCAAUAGGAAGGACAAGGCUUAUGAACUCGGAAGUCCAAACUUCUUGUUGUUUGUAUUAGUUUAAUUUCAUCGGUCAGCCCUCUGAUGUUGUCAUCUCGUAGUCUCUUUCCUGAACUGUUAUAUUUUGUCUUCCUUCUUACUCGUCAAGCCUAUUCAAGGAUGUCAAACCAGAAUUGAUGGUAUAACACUAAUCUAGCCAUAACGUACUGUCAAGGCAUUUUAGAUGGCGAUGACCUUUUCUUUGGUUCUAACACGAUUCCCAAGAAGAAGAAGCCAGUCAUUGCUGUGAAGAUGGUUUUUGAAUUGAAGACUACAAGGCCUAUCGUGCUCAUGUUUUGUUCUAGAUGGGAAUCGUGCUCAUAUUUUUGUAUAGAACUUUACUACUCUCUAUUGUGGAUGGGAAAUCACUAGUAUUGUAACUGAAUGGCUUAUUUUGGAUGGUGCAUGGUUUAUGACUCAUUUGAGGCAACAUUUAUAUAUAUAUGUAUUUCGGUUGAUCUUCUAUUGGAAAUGAAUGUUGGUUUUCUUUU